UACGUAGGGUGCGAGCGUUGUCCGGAAUCACUGGGCGUAAAGGGCGCGUAGGUGGCCUGUGGAAGUCUGCGGUGAAAAGCCCGGCGCUCAACGCCGGGUCGGCCGUGGAUACUCUCGGGCUUGAGCUUACUAGAGGCAGAUGGAAUUCCGGGUGUAGCGGUGGAAUGCGUAGAGAUCCGGAAGAACACCGGUGGCGAAGGCGGUCUGCUGGGGGUAAUGCUGGACACUGAGGCGCGACAGCGUGGGGGAGCAAACAGGGAUUAAGAAAACCCC
rnacentral:rRNA from 1 species